GACGAACCGAGCGAACGUUGUUCGGAAUCACUGGGCUUAAAGGGCGCGUAGGCGGGCUGUCAAGUUUGGGGUGAAAUCCCGCGGCUCAACCGUGGAACUGCCUCAAAUACUGACGGUCUCGAGGGAGGUAGGGGCGAGCGGAACUAAUGGUGGAGCGGUGAAAUGCGUUGAGAUCAUUAGGAACUCCGGUGGCGAAGGCGGCUCGCUGGACCUUUUCUGACGAUGAGGCGCGAAAGAUAGGGGAGCAAACGGG
rnacentral:rRNA from 1 species